AACGAACGCUGGCGGCGUGCCUAACACAUGCAAGUCGAACGUGAUUAGAGAGCUUGCUCUCUAUGAAAGUGGCGCACGGGUGAGUAACGCGUAGAUAAUCUGCCUGAUGAUCGGGGAUAACACUUCGAAAGGGGUGCUAAUACCGGAUAAGCCCAUGGAGUCUUCGGACUCUGCGGGAAAAGGGGGGGACCUUUUAGGCCUUCUGUAAUCAGAUGCGUCUGCGUACCAUUAGCUAGUUGGUGGGGUAAAGGCCUACCAAGGCGACGAUGGUUAGAUGGUCUGAGAGGAUGAUCAGCCACACUGGAACUGAGACACGGUCCAGACUCCUACGGGAGGCAGCAGUGGGGAAUUUUGUGCAAUGGGGGAAACCCUGACGCAGCAACGCCGCGUGAGUGAUGAAGGCCCUUGGGUCGUAAAGCUCUGACAGAGGGAAAGAAAUGCAGGGGGGCUAAUAUCCUCUUUGCUUGACGGUACCCUCAAAGGAAGCACCGGCUAACUCCGUGCCAGCAGCCGCCGUAACAC
rnacentral:rRNA from 1 species